UCGCGUUCUCUUGUCUUUUCUUUGCCUCCACCGCCAGCCGAGGGGGCGGGCCCUACAGCCUUUGUUGCCCGCGGACCGAGCGCAGCCGCCCGCCGGGCCGGAGUCGGGACCGCGACGCCGGGAGCCGCACGCGAGCUGGGCAUGUCCUGAGCCGGACCCGGGAUCGGGCAGCGACCGGACGGGAAGGACAAGAGUGUGCUCGUGGGGUCGCCCGGCCCUGGCCAUGCCCCGCGGCCGGAGCCCUGGCAGCCCCGCGCCGCUGCUGCGCCCCCUCCUCCUGCUCCUCUGCGCUCUGGCGCCCGGCGUCCGGGCACCCGCACCAGGGACUGCAUCCGAGGGCCGGGCAGCGCUGGACAUCGUGCACCCCGUGCGCGUGGACGCUGGCGGCUCCUUCCUGUCCUACGAGCUGUGGCCGCGCGCGCUGCGCAAACGGGACGUGUCCGCUCGGCGGGAUACACCCGCCUUCUACGAGCUACAGUACCUGGGGCGCGAGCUGCGCUUCAACCUGACCGUCAACCCGCACCUGCUGGCCCCGGGCUUUGUGUGCGAGACGCGGCGGCGCGGCGGCCUGAGCCGCGCGCACAUAAGUGCCUGUGGCCCCGCCUGCCACCUGCUCGGCGAGGUGCAGGACCCGGAGCUCGAGGGCGGCGUGGCGGCCAUCAGCGCCUGCGACGGCCUGAAAGGUGUGUUCCAGCUCUCCAAUGAGGACUACUUCAUUGAGCCUCUGGAUGGUGCCCCAGCCCAGCCUGGCCGGGCCCAGCCCCACAUGGUAUACAAGCGCCAAGUUCCAGAGAGGCAGGCAGAGCAGGGCGCCUCCAGGGCUCUGGGCACCUGUGGGGUACAAGAGUCCCCAGAGUUGGAGCUGCGGCGGGAGCACUGGGAGCAGCGGCAGCAGUGGUGGCCACGGCAGCGGCCCAGGCGUCUACACCAGCGGUCUGUCAGCAAGGAGAAGUGGGUGGAGACCCUGGUGGUCGCUGACACCAAGAUGGUGGAGUACCACGGGCAGCCACAUGUCGAGAACUACGUGCUGACCAUCAUGAACAUGGUGGCUGGCCUGUUUCAUGACCCCAGCAUCGGGAACCCCAUCCACAUCACCAUUGUGCGCCUAAUUCUGCUUGAAGAUGAGGAGGAGGACCUCAAGAUCACACACCAUGCAGACAACACCCUGAGGAGCUUCUGCAAGUGGCAGAAAAACAUCAACAUGAAGGAGGAUACCCACCCCCUGCACCACGACACCGCCAUCCUGCUCACCAGGCAGGACCUGUGUUCAGCCAUGAACCAGCCCUGCGAGACCCUGGGCCUGUCCCACGUGGCGGGCAUGUGCCAGCCCCACCGCAGCUGCAACAUCAACGAGGACACGGGCCUGCCCCUGGCCUUCACCGUGGCCCACGAGCUCGGGCACAGUUUUGGCAUUCAGCAUGACGGAAGCGGCAAUGACUGUGAGCCUGUUGGGAAACGGCCUUUCAUCAUGUCUCCACAGCUCCUGUACGACGCUGCUCCCCUCACCUGGUCCCGCUGCAGCCGCGAGUAUAUCACCAGGUUCCUCGACCGCGGGUGGGGCCUGUGCCUGGAUGACCCUCCUGCUGAGGACAUCAUCGACUUCCCCUCAGUGCCACCCGGGAUCCUCUAUGAUGUGAGCCACCAAUGCCGCCUCCAGUACGGGGCCCACUCCGCCUUCUGUGAUGACAUGGACAAUGUCUGCCACACACUCUGGUGCUCCGUGGGGACCACCUGCCACUCCAAGCUGGAUGCAGCCGUGGACGGUACCAAGUGUGGGGAGAAGAAGUGGUGUCUCAAUGGCGAGUGUGUCCCUGUGGGCUUCCGGCCCGAGGCUGUGGAUGGAGGCUGGUCCGGCUGGAGUGCCUGGUCUGUCUGCUCACGGAGCUGUGGCGUGGGCGUGCAGAGCGCCGAGCGGCAGUGCACACAACCUGUGCCCAAAUACAAGGGCAAAUACUGCGUGGGCGAACGGAAGCGCUUCCGGCUCUGCAACCUGCAGGCCUGUCCCCCUGGCCACCCCUCCUUCCGCCAGGUCCAGUGCAGCCACUUUGAUUCUAUGUUCUACAAGGGCCGACUGCACACGUGGGUACCCGUGGUCAGCGAUGUGAACCCCUGUGAGCUGCACUGCCGGCCCUCGAAUGAGUACUUUGCUGAGAAGCUGCGGGACGCCGUGGUCGACGGCACCCCGUGCUACCAGGGCCAGGCCAGCCGUGACCUCUGCAUCAACGGCAUCUGCAAGAACGUGGGCUGCGACUUUGAGAUUGACUCGGGUGCCGUGGAGGACCGCUGCGGCGUGUGCCAUGGCAACGGCUCCACCUGCCACACCGUGAGCAAGACCUUCGAGGAGGCUGAGGGCCUGGGGUACGUGGACGUGGGGCUGAUACCGGCCGGCGCUCGUGAGAUCCGCAUUGAGGAGGUGGCCGAGGCCGCCAACUUCCUGGCCCUGCGGAGCGAGGACCCGGAAAAGUACUUCCUCAACGGGGGCUGGACCAUCCAGUGGAACGGGGACUACCAGGUGGCGGGCACCACCUUCACGUACGCACGCACGGGCAACAGGGAGAACCUCACGUCCCCAGGGCCCACCGCAGAGCCUAUCUGGAUCCAGCUGCUGUUCCAGGAGAGCAACCCCGGGGUGCGGUACGAGUACACCAUCCACAGGGAGGUGGGUGACCACAGCGAGGUCCAGCCGCCUGAGUUCUCCUGGAACUAUGGGCCCUGGACCAAGUGCACAGUCACCUGUGGCACAGGCAUUCAGAGGCAGAGCGUGUUCUGUGCUGAGCGGCAGGCAGGGCCCGUGGACGAGAGGCACUGUGACGCCCUGAGCCGGCCCGAUGACCGUCAGAGGAGGUGCAGCGAGGAGCCCUGCCCGGCCCGGUGGUGGGCAGGUGAGUGGCAGCUGUGCUCGAGCUCCUGUGGGCCCAGGGGCCUCUCCCGCCGGACGGUGCUGUGCAUCCGCAGCGUGGGGCUGGACGAGCAGAGCGCCCUGGAGCCAGCUGCCUGUGAACACCUCGCCCGGCCGCCCACCGAAAGCCCUUGCAACCGCGAUGUGCCCUGCCCUGCCACCUGGGCUGUGGGGAACUGGUCUCUGUGCUCGGUGACAUGCGGGGCAGGCACUCAGCACCGGAUUGUCCUCUGCACCAACGACACUGCCCUCCCCUGCGACGAGGCCCAGCGACCAGCGACUGAGGCCCCCUGCCCUCUGCCGCCCUGCCUGCAGUUCUUGGACAUGCUGGGCCCAGAAGGCUCAGGCAGCGGCUCCCCCAGCAACCACCUCUUCAGUGAGGUCAACUUCACCCCCCGGCACACGGCCCCACACCCUUCACCCACCUCCUCAGCCGAGCUGACGAGCCUGGGCAAUGCUAUCACGGAGGACGACCUGGCGCUGGGCCCACCAGGGCCCGUGUUCAUUGACGACUUCUACUAUGACUACAAUUUCAUUAACUUCCAUGAGGACCUGUCCUAUGAGCCCCUCCAGGAGCCGGAGCCAGGCACAGUGGACGUGGGGAUUUGGGCUCCCCCAGGCAGUCCUGCUGAGACCCCCACGGGCACCCCCAGGCCUGCCACAGGGCCACCUGGGGCUGAGGAGGAGAGGGUCCUGGGAGAUUGGUCCCCUGCCCCCAGCCAGGCUGCCCACUCCCCAGCCCCAGCCUCAGAGCAGGCCCCUGGGAACCCCUUGAUCAACUUCUUGUCUGAGGAAAAUACCCCCACUGAGAUCCCAGACCUUGGGCUCCCCAGCUUGCCUUGGUCCCCUGCUUCUGUGGGUGGCUUGGAGACACCCGCUGCCCCCAGGAGCCAGGAGGAGCCCCUGGGAGGGGAGGAGAGCCAGGCUGAGCCCCCACCAUGGUGGGAGAGGACCAAUGAGGUUUCUGAGGAUGAUGAGGAGGCCUUAGACCGCAGAGCACCCCACUUGCCCCAGAGACCCAGCCCCAUGCUGCCUCCCUUGUCCUCCAUCAGCCCCACCCACCCCUCUCCUAGCCCUGGUGUGGUGGAGCCGUGGCUGGGAGGUGCCAUGGCCUGGGACCCAGCUCUGCAGGGGGGCCUGGGGCCUGUGGGAAGUGAGCCAUGGCCCACUGUGGGGCCAGGGACUCCCAGCUUUUCAGCCUCAGGACCGGCCCUGCGGGGUCUGCAGAUUUCAGCAGUGCCUGGGACCUUCCCCCCACCCUUUCUGGCUGGCCUAGUGCACACACCUUGGGUGACUACCCUGAGCCCAGGACCCUCGAGCUGGCCUGAGCCCCCCAUCCCUGAGGUGCCCCUGAGUUCUGUGCUGCUGCCCUCGCCAGCUCAGGAGAGUCCCGCCAGCAGCAGCAGAGCCCCCGAGGCCCAGCUUCCGGACUCCAGCCCGGCUGAGGAGGGGCCCCCCGUGGACCUGCCGGCUGCCAGGAAGCCCAGCUGGGAAGUGGGAAACUGGAGCCAGUGCUCCACCACCUGUGGUCUGGGUGCCGCCUGGAGGCCCGUGCACUGCAGCUCUGGCCGUGAGGAAGACUGUCCCCCCGCUGGCCGACCCCAGCCCGCCCGCCGCUGCCACCUGCGGCCCUGUGCCACCUGGCACACUGGCAACUGGAGCAAGUGCUCCCGCAGCUGUGGCGGGGGCUCCUCGGUGCGGGACGUGCAGUGCGUGGACAUGCGGGACCUGCGGCUGCUGCGGCCCUUCCACUGCCAGCCUGGGCCUGCCAAGCCACCCGCCCGCCGGCCCUGCGGGGCUCAGCCCUGCCUCAGCUGGUACAUCUCCUCCUGGAGGGAGUGCUCCGAGGCCUGCGGUGGUGGCGAACAGCAGCGUCUGGUGACCUGCCCGGAGCCAGGCCUCUGCGAGGAGGCGCUGAGACCCAACGCCACACAGCCCUGCAACACCCACCCCUGCACACAGUGGGUGGUGGGGCCCUGGGGCCAGUGCUCAGCCCCCUGCGGCGGUGGCGUCCAGCGGCGCCUGGUCAAGUGCGUCAACACCCAGACAGGACUGCCUGAGGAAGACAACGACCUGUGCAGCCACGAGGCCUGGCCCGAGAGCUCCCAGGCGUGCGGCACCCAGGACUGUGAGCUCACUGAGCCUCCGCGCUGCGAGCGGGAUCGCCUGUCCUUCGGGUUCUGCGAGACGCUGCGCCUGCUAGGACGCUGCCAGCUGCCCACCGUCCGCACGCAAUGCUGCCGCUCCUGCCCCCCGCCCGGCCGCGGCGCCCCCUCUCGCGGCCACCAGCGGGUCUCCCGCCGCUGACGCGCGCCCCGGCUCGCGGCCGGCCCACGACCCACAGGCAGACCGACAGACGCACAGACCUCAGCGCCCCACGACAGGCUGCGGCGGAGACCCGCCCCUCGCGCCCUAAUGGUGCUAAAGCCCCAGUCUCCCCUGCCCAGCGCGCAGGCUGGGACACCCUACCCCCACACCUAGAAAAGCACCGCCUGACUGCAUCUUGGAUUUGGGGAAUUUCAAGUCAAACUCCUCCCCUCACUCCUCCAUCCACUGCCUGAAGUUCCACCAUUCAAGCCCCAGCAGAUGUCUGUGCUCCUCUGGGUGCAGAUUAGCAGGGGAGACGGGAACAGACUAACCCACCCAGAGAGAGUGGGAGUCUGAAGGGAAAGCUGGUUUCCGA